CAAAGUUCCAGCAAGAAAAGGAAAUCACUGAACAAGAAACUAUGGAAUGCCUAUGAGCCUGCUCAUUUCUUCAAAAUGUAGCUAGCUUCAGAAUGCAAGUAGAUCUACUGGAAGGACUUGGAAAUCAAAAGCAAAUGAACACUUCAUGUCAACAGAUGUUUCUAGAGUUUUGUAACGGCUUGCAGGAUUUCAUUACAGAUAAAUCUUAUCCAACCACUUUGUGA
rnacentral:lncRNA from 1 species